rnacentral:lncRNA from 1 species
AGACCCCAUAGAGACCCCAUAACCCCAUAGAGACCCCAUAGACCCUAUAGGGACCCCAUUAAACCCACCUUGAACUGAGCCCCGAACUGUCGCAGCUCCUCCAGUGGUAGCAGCGCUAUAGGAGAUUAUAUGGGAUUAUAUGGGAUAUAUGGGAUAUAUGGGAUUAUAUGGGGUUAUAUGGGGCUAUAUGGGGUUAUAUGGGGUUAUAUGGGGGGAUAUGGGGUUAUAUGGGAUUAUAUGGGGUUAUAUGGGGUUAUAUGGGGUUAUAUGGGAUUAUAUGGGAUUAUAUGGGAUUAUAUGGGGUUAUAUGGGAUUAUAUGGGAUUAUAUGGGAUUAUAUGGGGUUAUAUGGGAUUAUAUGGGGUUAUAUGGGAUUAUAUGGGGUUAUAUGGGGUUAUAUGGGGUUAUAUGGGGUUAUAUGGGGGAUAUAUGGGGUUAUAUGGGGUAUACGGGGUUAUAUGGGGUUAUAUGGGGUUAUAUGGGGUUAUAUGGGAUAUAUGGGGNNNNNNNNNNNNNNNNNNNNNNNNNNNNNNNNNNNNNNNNNUAUAUGGGGUUAUAUGGGGUUAUAUGGGAUUAUAUGGGAUAUAUGGGAUUAUAUGGGAUUAUAUGGGAUAUAUGGGAUUAUAUGGGAUAUAUGGGAUUAUAUGGGGUUAUAUGGGGUUAUAUGGGGUUAUAUGGGAUUAUAUGGGAUAUAUGGGGUUAUAUGGGGUUAUAUGGGGUUAUAUGGAAUAUAUGGGGUUAUAUGGGAUUAUAUGGGAUAUAUGGGGUUAUAUGGGGUUAUAUGGGGUUAUAUGGGGUUAUAUGGGGUUAUAUGGGGGGUAUAUGGGGUUAUAUGGGUUAUAUGGGGUUAUAUGGGGUUAUAUGGGAUAUAUGGGGUUAUAUGGGAUUAUAUGGGGAUAUAUGGGGAUAUAUGGGAUAUAUGGGGUUAUAUGGGGUUAUAUGGGGUUAUAUGGGAUAUAUGGGGUUCUAUGGGGUUCUAUGGGGUUCUAUGGGGUUAUAUGGGGUUCUAUGGGAUCUAUGGGGUUCUAUGGGGUCACUGACCUUUGCCGUUGGUCUGGGGGGGGUCGUUGUUUUCCCGUCCGCCAUCUUGGGGGGGGUCUGAAGCUUCAGGGGUGGGGCCUAAACAGGAAGAGACCCAAAAUGACCCCAAAAUGGCCCUAA